GUAAAAGCAACAUACCACUUAAAUAACCCCUAAUACACUUAACACCUAAUAAACAAAUCAUUUUUCCCCCUUAGUAUGGGCGACAGAAAAGGGAUCAGGA
rnacentral:rRNA from 1 species